AUAUAUAUAGAUGUUUGUUUUUUUUUCUUUCAAAUAUAAUGCAUUUAUAGCGGAAAAGGUAAACCUCAGGAAAAUCGGUAGGCACGUCGUCGAUUGGCCAACCUUCGACAAAGUGUAUGGACUAAACAUAGAUAUGAAGAGGCGAUACCCGAGCGCGCUAAGACAUGCCUUAUGGGGCGGCCAUCUUGGAAAGGUCGAGUUCCCUUCGAACGCAACGAAUCAACAUUGAAAUGAAGUCGUCAUUUGCUCAAUUCUCAACCCAUUUUCAUGGGAAUUCCCUCUUUGUCAACUCCGAAGCGUGUGUACUAUCAAUACGGAAUAUUUUUUUAAUAAGUCAAUUUAUUUUUACCUGUGAAAGGUUAUUCCCAGUUCAAAAGGGAAUACAAUUCAUAUUUGACACACAUCCAGGGAACGUGAGCAUACUGUGACAAAGAGAGAGAUUGCGUGGUUUCCGAAGACGAACAACAUGGCGGCGCCCCAUGCAUAGACUUGCAAAGACAAAAUUUCUCUUUUCACAAGUCGUUUUCCUUUUCCUUGGCUAGCUCGUAGAGAGCUACUUGCGGUCCGCGCAGCUACGCCAACUCGUCUGUCGUGGAGGAUCCGAGCCCUUGCGUCGAACUCCCGCUGAAGACGAAAAAAGCUGAUUCUUCCACUUCAACUGAGGAUUUACUUGAUUGGACAGAAACACGGACGAGUCUCCUCCUCUCAAUCGACAAAAAAUUGUCAAUUACACUUGACUUGUUCGCCAAGAGAUCGCCGAACUUCAGAAAGAGCUUGGAAUUCACACAACAACAGGUCAAGGAGCUAAGAUUAGAUAACACUGCGCUUCGAUCAAACAUGAUGUCAGUGCCAGCGGAACUACAAACUCUUAAAACUGGAAAUAUAAAAUCAUGAAAGAAACCACGCUGGACAUUCAAUCAAGAAGCGUGCGCGACAAUCACAUUUUCUCGGGCAUUCUAGAAAAUGCUCCGGAAGACUCCGAGGUGCAGAUUAAAAAGUUUAUGAUGUCCUCGCUCAAGAUACAGCAAGUUACAGUCGACAAGAUUACUUUUCACAAUGUUCACCGAUUGGGAGGGCCUCACCCAGGAAACCGACCACGUCCCAUUAUUGCAAAGUUUGAACACUUUCAGCAAAAGGUUUUUGUAAAAUCCAAAGGUCGGGAGCUCAAAGGGACUUCGUUUGGAAUGAACGACCAGUUCCCCAAGGAAAUUAAUGAGAGGCGUAGAAAUUUGUACCCGUUGAUGAAGGAUGUCCGUGACAAAGGCAAACGAGCGUGGUUAGUUGUCAACGGCCAACUGUUUCGUGAUGCCAACGUGACGCCCUGGCUCUUCUAGAUAGCAUCUCUAUCACCCACUCUAAAUAACAUUUGUCAACGCAAUACCAAAAAAUUCCUGAAAACUGUCAAAAAAACAACAACAAAGAAUGCAUAGUACCAAAUCUAUUUAAAAUUAUCAUACACGCACCCAUUAUAUGUCACACUUAACUUUUGUGUCAUGGAAUGUCAAUGGCAUUCGAUCGCAGUCAAAGAGAAUUAAGAUUAUUAUUAUACCGCUAAACUUAAAACAGACCUCCUCCUAUUACAAGAAACGCACCUGACUGCGUCAGAAGAAAAGUGCCUCAUUUGCUCUAAUUUCACUCAGGCUAUCUCGGCCUUUUAUAACUGUAGACGAAGAGGAGUCUCAAUACUAGUCCAUUCAAGAUUACUUUUUACAAUAAGUAGUACAGUAGCAGAUCCAGAAGGCCGAUACAUAAUUAUACAGGCUACAAUGUUUAACAUGCUUUACACAAUUGUCAAUGUAUACGCUCCUAAUAAAGAUGAUCCAGCCUUUUUUCACAUGCUCUUUUCACACUUGUUAAACAUGUCAGCCAAUUCUACAAUUAUCAUGGGAGGUGAUUUUAACCUUAUGCUAAAUCUCUUAAUAGAUCGCUCAAAUCUCAAAAAUAGCAAUCAGCCAAAAUGCCCCAAUAUACUAGAGCAGUAUAUGGACGACUUUGGUCUCGUUGACAUAUGGAAGCUGAAAAAACUGUAGCGGACAUGCUCCCCGCAAACUGAGGUGACACAGUGAAUCCCCACGGUGUGAUAAACCGCAUUCUUCCAAGCGGCCCUGCUGUGAGACUGCUCCAAGGAGACACCUCGUGGACCCUAGACUAAUUAACAUCUACCCUCGAAGUCUGAACUCCCAAGCAUCAAAGGCCCCAGAUGGUCCCACCGACAAGCCGACACCCGCUGGCGUCGAGAGGAACUGCAAAGUUGACCCGGAGGGGACUCUCAUUUGAUGUUUAACGAAGGAUAAAUGUCUGUUUUGAUAUUUCACCAACUCUGCAGAAAUGUUCCAAAUGUAUGCCUUGAUGUCUGUGUCAGUGUGUCAACUUUACAAGUGCUAUUGUGAGAUUUUGAGAAUUGUUUGUCUUGAUUUGACUCCAAGCAGCAUGAAAUGUGAUUUGAACCAUAAGCAGUUGAUUUGCCAAAACUAAAGUAUAAACAGUCACUCCGAUAUGCUCGACCUCUGAGUAAAGAGAGUACCAAGUUGAGGUUAUGUUAUAUUAAUAUAUGAUUUUAAACUCAUUUUAUCAAAUGUGUAGACAAGAUUAAAGCCGAUGGGUGUGGUCUUCUCUUCUUUCGCCCCUGGGGUACUUAACCCUGACUCUCGUGUUUUUUUCUCUCCUCUGACUUCUUAGCUCUUGUCUUCCUGGCAUGUGCAAGGCACGCGGGCUUGGCUUCGGCCACCCCUCCUUCCUGCCUUUUCUUUGUUCGGGCACACGGACGCAGCUUCUCAGCCUAUCCAUGGACCACCGCGAGGCGAUCAGGGCAACUGCUACUAAGGUACCAGGUACGCUUCCAGUCAAGCGUGAUCGCUCUGAAAUUGCCAGCGAGCCACAAAAAGGCAGGAAGAGAGAGAGUCAUACUCUCCCAACAAGGCGAUACGAACAACAAAUUUUCUUCUUCCGCAUCUUUCGUUAAAUGUUUGUGCAUCUUUUUCUUCUGCAACCAACCCUGUCUCUGUGCUUCUGAGACACGCCCAGGGAGAGACCACUCCCAGAGGCCAGUUCAUUUACAUUCGUGAGUAGACACGGCAAGGGAUUGCCAGACUGUACAAUAUGAGUGCCUAAUAAUUUUGGGGAAAUCACUAGCUUCAGACAAAAUCUCAACUCUCUCUCUCUCUCUCUCUCUCUCUCUCCCUCCCUCCCGGAAUGGACGUGUUAAACGCUCGCGUUUUCCACUUUAGUCUAACACAUGAUGUUCUAUUUCCCUUUUCGUACGCCUAUUUUCCUUCCUUUUACCAUUAUUAGUGUUAUUUUCUUUCUUUAGUUGGUCCCCUUUGUGUGUUUCCCUUUAGAGCUCUUGGAGAUUUCAUUAAAUAUAUUAUAAAAUUCCA